rnacentral:rRNA from 1 species
UACGGAGGGUGCAAGCGUUAUCCGGAUUUACUGGGUUUAAAGGGUGCGUAGGUGGAUAAGAAAGUCAGUGGUGAAAUCUUCGGGCUUAACCCGGAACUGCCGUUGAUACUAUUUAUCUUGAAUACUUUGGAGGUAAGCGGAAUAUGUCAUGUAGCGGUGAAAUGCUUAGAUAUGACAUAGAACACCAAUUGCGAAGGCAGCUUACUACACAGUAAUUGACACUGAGGCACGAAAGCGUGGGGAGCAAACAGG